GACGGCACCGGCGGCUCGCCCCGUGUUGCCUGUGCCGACUGCGCGUUAACGGCCCGGCGUGCGGGCGCCUGGGGGGAAAUGCGGGUUUUGUGAGGAAAAACCCCACACUUUUUUGUUUUGACAUGGGAGCAGAUGGUUGUGCCUCAGCCGGCACCUCUGAGCCCCAGGCCGGUUCAGGGUAGUUCUGGUUUGCAGGUGUCAUCUUCAGAGCCGGAGCAAGGGCUGAGUUUGCUUGACACUGUCCAUGUCAAGCCACUGCUUCCAGCCUUUGUGGCCUUGCCCACAAGCAGCAGUUUUAUUCCUAGUCAGAGAAGAGGAGGAAGUGAGGACAUGUGAGGGAGAACAACAUGGCAGCACCCAGGUCAGUGGAAAAGGAAAGGGAGGAGGUGCUCCAAGCGCCAGAGCUGAGAUUCCUCUGCAGGCUGUGGUGGGAACUAUGGUAAAGCAAGGCUGUCCCCCUGCAGCCCACGAGGUCCAUGGGGGAUGUGGAGAUACACUCACAGCGCAUGAGAGAAGUACUCAUGCUGGAGCAGGUGGAUGCCGGGGGAAAACUGUGAUCCAGCAGGAGACCUGAAUGGAGAGAGAGGGCCCCUGCUUCCAGAGACAGAGAGACGGUCCUUGCUUCCAAACUAGAGCAGCCUAUCCUUAGAGGACUGCACCUCAUGGAUGAGACUCACAUCACAGCAGUUUCAAGAAGACUGUUUGCCCAUGGGAGGGACCCCAGGGCACAGCAGAGGAAAGACUCCUCUCCCUGAACAAACAGAAGAAAAAUCUCAAGUGGCAAUCUGACCAAAGCCCCCACAUCCUGUCUCCCUGCACUGUCAGUGGGAAAGAGGGAGGGGCUGGGGGGGGGGGGGAAAUAUUGUUUAAAGGCUUAUUUUACUUCUCAUUAUCCUCCUCUGACUCUGUUAAUAAUAAAUUUAUUUUAUACCUUUAAAUUUGAA